UACGUAGGGACCAAGCGUUGUUCGGAUUUACUGGGCGUAAAGGGCGCGUAGGCGGCAAUUCAAGUCAGUUGUGAAAUCUCCGAGCUUAACUCGGAACGGUCAACUGAUACUGUUUUGCUAGAGUACAGAAGGGGCAAUCGGAAUUCUUGGUGUAGCGGUGAAAUGCGUAGAUAUCAAGAGGAACACCUGAGGUGAAGACGGGUUGCUGGGCUGAUACUGACGCUGAGGCGCGAAAGCUAGGGUAGCAAACGGGG
rnacentral:rRNA from 1 species